UCCCCAUUUUGCAGGGCUCCGGAAGCGAAAAGACCCGCAACGUGGUCGACGGCAGCUCUGACAACAAAAGCACCCUGGAAUGAUUAAUUAAUAAGAGACACACUGCUGAAACCAGAUCUGCUGAAUACGGCGAUGAUGUCAUUAUGCUUCCCAUGCUGCUACCUCUCACCUCCCCUGACCAAUCAUAUGGCACAUGAGAAUCAUCAGUUGGACUGAUUGGGACUCUAACUGAUCACUGUGCUGUUCAUUGAUUGUGGUUUCUUUCGAUGUAACAGAGGGCAAAGAGCUCUGUCCCUCUCUUGCCCUGGCGAAUGGCAAGAGCUUUGCAAAAAUACAAAUAAAUGCAACUGUACAAAAAGCUUU